rnacentral:rRNA from 1 species
AGUGAACGCUGGCGGCGUGCCUAGCACAUGCAAGUCGAGCGAUCUUCUUCGGAAGAGAGCGGCGGACGGGUGAGUAACGCGUGGGUAACCUGCCUCAUACACAUGGAUAACAUACCGAAAGGUAUGCUAAUACAAGAUGAUAUAAGAGAUUCGCAUGGAUUUCUUAUCAAAGCUUUUGCGGUAUGAGAUGGACCCGCGUCUGAUUAGCUAGUUGGUAAGGUAAUGGCUUACCAAGGCGACGAUCAGUAGCCGACCUGAGAGGGUGAUCGGCCACAUUGGAACUGAGACACGGUCCAAACUCCUACGGGAGGCAGCAGUGGGGAAUAUUGCAUAAUGGGCGAAAGCCUGGUGCAGCAACGCCGCGUGAGCGAUGAAGGCCUUCGGGUCGUAGAGCUCUGUCCUCAAGGAAGAUAAUGACGGUACUUGAGGAGGAAGCCCCGGCUAACUACGUGCCAGCAGCCGCCGCAG